CUACGGGCGGCAGCAGUCGAGAAUCUUUCCCAAUGGACGAAAGUCUGAGGAUGCGACGCCGCGUGGGGGAUGAAGGCUCUCGGGUCGUAAACCCCUUUUAUCAGAGAGGAACACUAAUUUACGAAUAGUUUAUUAGUUUGACUGUAUCUGAGGAAUAAGCCACGGCUAACUCCGUGCCAGCAGCCGCGGUAAUACGGAGGUGGCAAGCGUUACUCGGUUUGACUGGGUGUAAAGGGUCCGUAGGCGGCCUGUUAAGUGAAAGGUGAAAUCUUUCGGCUCAACCGAAAAACUGCCUUUCAAACUGAUAGGCUAGAGGCUGGGAGAGGAGAGCGGAACUGCUAGUGUAAAGGUGAAAUUUGUGGAUAUUAGCAGGAACGCCUGUGGAGAAGUCGGCUCUCUGGUCCAGACCUGACGCUGAGGGACGAAAGCUAGGGGAGCGAACAGGAUUAGAUACCCCGGUAGUC
rnacentral:rRNA from 1 species